rnacentral:rRNA from 1 species
UACGAAGGGGGCUAGCGUUGCUCGGAAUCACUGGGCGUAAAGCGCACGUAGGCGGCUUCUUAAGUCAGGGGUGAAAUCCUGGAGCUCAACUCCAGAACUGCCUUUGAUACUGAGGAGCUUGAGUCCGGGAGAGGUGAGUGGAACUGCGAGUGUAGAGGUGAAAUUCGUAGAUAUUCGCAAGAACACCAGUGGCGAAGGCGGCUCACUGGCCCGGUACUGACGCUGAGGUGCGAAAGCGUGGGGAG